rnacentral:pre_miRNA from 1 species
AGGUGGUGUUUGGUCUUUGGUUGAAUAGAAAAAGUCAAAAUAUUUGGCUUUUUCUAUUCAGCUAAAAGUAACAUGUUGACAUCAUCCAAUAUAAUUAAACUGAACCUAUUGAUAACAAGUUCAUUUUAGCUAUAUUGGAUGAUGUCAACAAGUUACUUUUAACUGAAUAGAAAAAGCCAAAUAUUUUGGCUUUUUCUAUUUAGCCAAAAAACAAACACCACCU